rnacentral:rRNA from 1 species
CGCCAGACUCCUACGGGAGGCAGCAGUGGGGAAUAUUGCACAAUGGGGGAAACCCUGAUGCAGCGACGCCGCGUGAGUGAAGAAGUAUUUCGGUAUGUAAAGCUCUAUCAGCAGGGAAGAAAAUGACGGUACCUGACUAAGAAGCCCCGGCUAACUACGUGCCAGCAGCCGCGGUAAUACGUAGGGGGCAAGCGUUAUCCGGAUUUACUGGGUGUAAAGGGAGCGUAGACGGCAUGGCAAGUCAGAUGUGAAAGCCCGGGGCUCAACCCCGGGACUGCAUUUGAAACUGUCAGGCUGGAGUGCAGGAGAGGUAAGUGGAAUUCCUAGUGUAGCGGUGAAAUGCGUAGAUAUUAGGAGGAACACCAGUGGCGAAGGCGGCUUACUGGACUGUAACUGACGUUGAGGCUCGAAAGCGUGGGGAGCAAACAGGAUUAGAUACCCUCGUAUC